rnacentral:miRNA from 1 species
CGUGGAAUCUCGCGGAAGACAU